rnacentral:misc_RNA from 1 species
UGGUUCUGGCAUCGAUGAAGAACGCAGCGAAAUGCGAUAAGUAAUGUGAAUUGCAGAAUUCAGUGAAUCAUCGAAUCUUUGAACGCACAUUGCACCCUCUGGUAUUCCGGGGGGUAUGCCUGUUCGAGCGUCAUUUCAACCCUCAAGCCUAGCUUGGUGUUGGGCAUCAUCUAAAAGGAUGUGCCUUAAAAUCACUGGCGGUGCCAUCUGGCUUCAAGCGUAGUAAACUUCCGCUCUAGAGGCUUGGGUGUUUGCUUGCCAUCAACCCCUAAUUUUUCAAAGGUUGACCUCGGAUCAGGUAGGGAUACCCGCUGA